GGGGCUGUGGUGUAGCCUGGUUAGCAUUUAAGCUUUGGGAGCUUACGACCCCCGUUCAAAUCGGGGCAGUCCCA
rnacentral:tRNA from 1 species